AUACUGACGGAGACAAUAAAUUGACAAAAAUAACGAGUUGGAAGGGAGAGAAUUUGUAACGUCUGAUCGAGUUGGCCAGAUACUUGAAGUUGGUCAUGUGUAACUUGAUAAAGUACCGAAUCCAUAACGUGUAUACGAUUAUUUCUAUUAGGGUUUAACAUAACAUAACAAUGUUGCACGGUAUUACAGAUAUCAUAUUCAACAACUUUUAAUUUAUCUUAUCACGAUUCAAGUUUAUUAUCGCUUUUAUAUAUUUUUUCGAUGUACAUUGCACUUUUUGCAGACUGUUCUCUGUGAUAUUACUUAUUUCUAGAAAGCUCGUAUCGCGUUUUACGAACUUUUUUACGAGACCCGUUAUAAUAAUAAGAGUAACGAGAGCGAAUCAAGUAAUAAUAAAACCCAACUUUACUGCAAAUUACGAAUUGGGAGAAUAAAUUGUUCGGAGAGUGAAUUAGUUUCAGAUACUGAAUUUAUGGAAUAAUAUACUGCGUCCCGUAAGAAUCACCGUCCAAGUAUUAUUCGAAUGAAAGUUUAUUUUCACAACGUUCGAUAUUGCUGGCCCACCGCUUUAUAUGCAAAAAGGAAGGAAUAUCUACCAUUAUUUAAAAGUACGACCUCUUUCCCAUUGUAAAUUGCAACGAACGGUACGCGAAAUUUUUCCUUCUAAAGUGGAGUUAGGUUGUUUCGCUACUCAUCGAUUUUAUGCAAAGUUAUUUGCUUGGCCUAUUUCUCAAAGAGGAGCAGCUAAAAAGCGCGCAUUGAAAUAGUGAACCUUUUUCAUAUGCAAUUGAAAAGAAAGCGUAAAAUUAUUAAAUUAAAUGUCGAAAAAUAAAAUAAAAAAUAAAAUUAACGUAUAAACUUGGAAUCGAUAUUAAAAAAGUACAUUCAAUAAUUUUUCCUCCUCCUCUCUAAAAAGUAAUUAAUAAGUUUUUCCAUGCUUUGAUCUGCGUGGAAAUGACAAGCAAAUUGUUUCAAAUACGCAAGCAAUGGUGGAAGCACAAUCAUUUCCCUCUUUCUAUCAGUUUCUCACUUUUCAUACCGGCUGAUCGCUUUUUAAAUUCAUCACUCAUUCAUUCCCAUUUUAUUCGAUGAAACGAAUACAGAACUCAGCAGCUGGCGCGACUCCAAUUCACUCUUAUCUAUCAGUCACAGAAUAAUAUUGGGAGGCAUCGUAGAAUUAAUUUUAUUGAAAAUAAAUGCCACGAUCUGUAACAAUGUUUCAUUUCCAGAGAAAGAUGGUUAAUCGAUUGUUACAAGGUAUUAGAUAAAUAACAUCCAUGAAUUGAUUGCAAUGAUUCGCUAUAAAUUUAAACUUGAUUAAACAUAAAGGUUAGAUUAUUCCGUUCCGUAUGAUUGCACGAUUGUUUUUAUCUACGUCGCGUUUUAAUCAAUAUGUCUCUAGUUUAAUGAAGACCAGUGCUGUUUAAUACUCUAAUCAAGCCAUAUUUAACUGAAUAAACAAUGACGGCGCAUAUAAUUAAGUUCAAUUAGUGGCGAAACAAUUUUAUUUUUGAUACUGGGAAAUGGAUUUUAAUGUACAAUUAAAAUUCAAGUCCAUGUACUGAGCAUCUGUAAAUUUAUAAUAAAGCUGCAUAAUUGAGAACAGAGAGUUGUAUAAUGAAGUUACAGUGUAUUACGGAUGCACCACUACAUUAAAUGAAGAAUAUUGCGUUGAAUACACAAAUUUUCCAUUAGCCCGUGUUUCGGAAAAAAUCGUUCACAAAUGACUUGAGAAUUGUUUUAAACGCUAAAUAUCUAUUACAACGUCGUUUAAUACAAUAAAAAAAAAAGAGAGAGAAAAUGAACGAAUCAUAUUUGAAAAUUUGAAAAGAACAAAAUCUUUAAAAAAAAAAAAUCUCAUUUCCUAUGUACGUAGCAACUGAACGAAAUGAAAUUUUUAACCGUGAUUGUCGUGGAGAACAUUUUGUGUAAAUUGGCAACGUUCGAGUUUCAGGUACAAAUAUUUAAAUGAAACACGUGUUCAAAUUCACGCUGCACAUACAAAACAGAUGCCCCACGUCGUCGUCCCAUCGUUCCUCUCUCUCAUUCUCGCCAACGAUAGACCAAUUGUGGGAGAAACAAGAAUAUAUUAUAUAGUAUAUAUGUAUAGGUAUAUACCGUUGGAUACUCGUUUUCUCUUUCUGUUGCGAGUUUUCAAGCAAUUUAGUCAUGCAAAGGCUGAAUCACUUCGUAUAUUAUUCGAAUUGAAAAAUAUCGUAAUGCUGUUACCUUCGUAAAUAAAGCCGUCCUGAUUCGAAUGUCUGCAUUGGCGUAGCAAUGAAAUUUUUAUUGAAUUAUUUAUCAAUAUAUAUAUAUAUAUAUAUUUACAGAAAUAAAACAAACGAUAACUGUAUCGUAAAAAUAAUAACAGUGACUAAAUGCAAAUCGAUGGAGUUUUAUAUUAUAUAAAUUAUAUUAUAUAAAUUAUAAAUUCAGAAUACAACGCUAUACAAUUUGUGUUUCAUGAUUUAAUAACGUAUUUCAAUUUAGGAUGAUUAUUUAUAAUUAACAUGCUGGUGGAUUAAAGUUAGCACAAGGAUUACUAGUAUUAACUGUGUAAUUUCUAUCUUCGAGUGAGUAAUAAUAACAUUUCAGCCAGAGAUUUAUUUUACGACCCGCUCUGUAGAGACUGUAAUACAGAUAUUGAUCUGCCUGGCAUUUAAUGUCACUCACAAUGUUAUUCCAACUAAUACAUAUAGCGCAGGAAUUUCAAUAAUUAAUGCGCAUAUCUCGAGUUAUUUUUGAAUUAAUCAACAGCUCGAACUUGUUAAUAAUUAGGAUCUGAUGAAAAAUAUAAUUUGUGAAUUAUAAAAUCGAAUUUUUUGUUAAAAUCAAAUCAACAAUAAAUAAAAUGCAUUAUCAACAUUCGAUGAUAUUUAAAUAUCAUUUGAAUUAAAUAACACUUGCCUUCGGAAUAAAUGGAUUGUAUUUUUGGUUAAUUUUUAUAGGAAACCAUAAAUGGAAGUAUGCCAAAUUAAAGCCAAGUAACGUGGCUUUUAAUUAGAAGCUUAAGACCGUUAAGAUCGUGUGGCUUCCUUGUAAAUUUACGACUUAUGUAUAUGUAUAUUUUGUAUUAUAUAGAUGUUUCAGCAGUUCUCAAUCGAUGAAAAUACAUUUUCUUUUCUCGACACAAAAAUAAAAGAAAUUACAAAUUAAAAUCAAUAAUUAACUUUAAUAUAUAGAUAAAUUUUAUUGAAUAUAAAAUGGCAAAGAAUGAAAUCAAAAUCGAAAAAUUAAUUUUCGAUUAUUUGCAUUUAUAUGAAUAAUAUUUUGAAUAAAAGGAUUAAAUACACCAACGUAUGAGACAGAGAAUUGAUUUUUCUAGUUAUUGUUAUUAUAUUUCCAACGACUAAAAUUACAGUUUGCAUCUACAGUCGGUAUAAAAGUAAGUCAGAUAUAUUGGUUAUCGACAGAGUAUUAAAUAUAAAAGAGAUAAACAGAAAUGAAAGCAAUUGAAUUGGACUGUAUUGCUAUUGAAUUGUAUUUUUCAAUGACACAACUGAUCUAAUAUGCACGACAUAGAUAUAUAUAUAUAUACAUAAAUAAUUAAUUUUAUAUUUCCAAGUUGCAUCAUGGUAAAUCUACAUUUUUAUAAUAUUUUUUAAUUACGAUAAAAAUAUUUGAAAAAACAUAUAUAUUAUAUUAAAAUAAUAAUUAACUUUAUUCGAAUAUAUUUUUAUUUAGAUAUUGAAAAAAUUUAAAAACAUUUUUAAAUAUCAUAUAUAAUUAUGCAUUACAUUCGUCGAACAUGUAACGAAGUGAAUAAUUUAUGAAAGCAAAUGAACGAUCGAUCGCAUAGAUUUCAGCUAUAAAUCAAAAGUUUCCAGAGGAUUAGAUAGCAGAUAAUUAAUCGAUUGUAUAAGAAUAAAGAAGCAAAAAAUAACCUAACAUAAUGAUUUGUUUUAAAAUAUGUUUAAAAAAACAUUUCUUAAAAGUUUAUUAAUUUUAAUUUACUAUAUAAGAAAAUCUAUAUUCUCUGAAUAAAUAAUUUAAUAAUUCUUUCUUCAACAUGAGAAUCAUGUAAGUUAUUGCGCGAUAAAUCGAUAAAUUGUCAAUCCGGCUUGUUCCACGGACAUCCGUAAUUUAUCGAACGUCGCGUCUUCGAUCUUCGAUAUUCAAAUUACAUCGUUUCCAAUGUCUUCAAAAUGGUAGAUCGAGUAAUAAGUCUGUCCAUUUUUGGUGAUGUAUACUCUUUAAAGAAUGUGAUAAAAAUGUUUUAGCAUCAACGAAUAAAUAUUUUUUCUAAAAAAAAUAAUAUUUAAAUAUCCUUGAUAAUUAAAUGGAUUUUAUAUAAAAGUAAUAUAACAUCAUUUAAUAUACUUUCAAGAAACGCAACAAACGAAGUUAUUAUUCAAUUUAAUAAUACUUUCAUCAUCUUCCUUUUAAUAAUUAUAAAAAUGCUACCACUAUUUUUAACGUCAAUCAUAAUUUCGUAAAAAUUGAUUUUCAACAUACACAUGUAGCUAAAUGUUGACGAUAAAAUGAAAUUAACAAAAUUGGCGCUUGCGCAAGAUAGAGAGUGAGCAACAAUGAACAAAGACGAGUCACGAUCGCUGGAAUCAAUUACUGUAUAAACAGUAAACCAGCUAUCCUCUAUAAUAGUUUAUCCUCCCUAUAAAAUCCAUACCUCUGUAAUUCAAGAGUAUCAACAGAAAUCCCAAUGUAAUUUUCUCUGGCGAAUUCACCCUCUUCCCCCAUCGCGGCUGCCACCUUAAAGGAGAUACCAUCGACAGCAAAAGAUUCCAAUAUUCCUGCGCACGCAACGCCGUUUACACAGUUUUUUUUGUGCAACUCGUUCACCGAGUAUACGCUAUCAUAGUGUUUGUGUUCUGUUGUUACGAGUGUAUUGCACACAUAUGCUAUCCUAGUCGAGCGAGAGACCGCGCUAUACCAUUUAUGUUAGAUGGAAUAGGACGGAAAGUAAGCACUAGAUAGGGAUAGCGCGAGUCGGUGAGUUAAAGAGUAAGCGAAACGGAUAGACAAAUGGAGGGACAUGGCCAAACAUUAAGUGCAAGAGAGACAGAUAAUAGAACGAGAAGGGGAUUAAAAAGAAGACGCCGAACGAAUAAAGGGCUAACGGAAGAGAAUAGAGAGAGAGAGAGAGAGAGAGAGAGAGAGAGAGAGAGAGAGAGCAGAGAAGGACAAAUAGAGGAAAGCCAGUGUGGGCAAAUAGAGAAGAGUAGAUAAGAAAAUAACAGGUAAAAGAGGAUAAAGGAACAGAUGGAGCGAAUGAUGGAACAAGAGAGAAGGCAAGUGAUGCCGUGAAAAGUAAAAGAGUUAAAAAGAGAUCAAAACGGUAAAGAAAAAAAGAAGAGAGAGAAAGAAAUUGACGCGAAUCCUGACAAAGAGGAGAAAUUGGAAGUUGGAAAACAGAAGUAAGGGAAGACAAAACGAAGAUGAACGAUGAAAGAACGAGAGAGCAACAGGGAUCCGGAGCAAUUGAGCGCGGGUGCGCGUGUAUGAGGUACUAAACUCGUUUAACUGUGUGAACGAUAAUUGGCACAUGAAUCAUGCAUUUGGUUGUAGCAUGUCACUUGGUGUACGUUCCACUCAGGCAACUUUUCGAGCGUACGCAUGCACGCACCGUCAUUAUUAUGCAUACAACGCAAAAUAAUUAUCGUAAACGCGAAUCAAGCUGCGCUCUAUUUGCAUUUUCCACACUAAUAGCAAACUUCUGAAACUUUAUCAACCUGUCAAGAAAUUAGCCAAAAAUUUAAGUUAAUCUUAGUUUUCUAUUUCUCAUCUCUUUUGACUCAACGAAAUGUUUCAACUUUGAUAUUAGAAUGUUAGAAUCCCCGAUAUAUCGUCGAAAUAGAUAGAAAAUUUUUCAGAGAUUUUUUUUUAUUUCUGCAAUUAUUAUUAAAUACAUCCAUAUGAAUAUUUAAAUCAACGUCAACUUUUAUUCAAAUAAAAUUACAAUUGUAUCAAUAUUAUGUAAUUAUACAUCGAUAUAUUUUCAUUAUAUUAUUUUAAUCUUUUGAAGGAUAUAAUAUUGAUUGCGCACACGUGUUAUUGUUUUUUAAUCCAAGUAUAAAUACGAUAAUCACGUACGAAUUAUUCUCUCGUAUAAUUUAAAAUUUAUUUUACUAUUUUCCAUCGCGUUUAAUAUUUUUUGAAUAUUCAAUCUUUAAUCGCCUUAAUAAUUUUGUUCCAUAAAAGGUUAAUUAUCAUUUACAUAUAUAAUAUAUUGAGUUAGAUACUAAGCGACGAUAGUUCCAGUAUAUAAAAUGAAAAAUUUAUCCACCGUGUUGUAAAAUAUUUCAAAUAAAAUUGAACAUAAAUUAUACGAUAAUGGCAGCCAUUUUCUACGACGACCGUUUAAGGAUCGAUCUCAUUAUAUUUAAAAUUUUCUAACUGAAGACAAAUGCAGAUCGCAUCGAGAGAUUAGAAAAUAAUAUUGCUUAUACAGUAAGUAAUUUAAUCGAAGAACGAAGGAUAUUUCGAUUCAUUUAAGAUAAGAUAAUUCCAGGAAAAAUUUCCGUGCUAUGGCACGUCGUUGACAUACCUCAUUGAAUAACAUCCAAGAUCGAAUUCAGAUCACGUAGAUCAGAGGAAGGAUAUGUAUAUGGUGCAAUAUAACUCAAGUUACUUCGCUAUAGAACCGUUUUAUCUAAAUUACAACGACCUAGCUUCACCAGUCAGCGUCUUGAGUUUAGUUUCGAACCUACUGACGAAGACAGUGAAUAGACACAAGGAGUGGAAGCAAGAAAGAUAUAGUCCCUCGUCGAGUGUUCAUACUCUUGAAAUAAAAUUGCUACUUGCACCGUGAGAAUUAUAAUGCUAUCUAUAUUUAUUGAAUUUUAAACAUGAAUGUAAAUAUUACAUAAAAAUAAGAAAUAUAAUAUUCAAAAAAUACAUUUUUUGACAUAUUCUCUCUUCUAUAGCAUAUUUAAAUCUAUCUAAAAACUAAAAUUCAUAUCAUAGAAACGCGGAUCAAAAUCUCAG